ACGAACGCUGGCGGCGUGCCUAAUACAUGCAAGUAGAACGCUGAAGAGAGGAGCUUGCUCUUCUUGGAUGAGUUGCGAACGGGUGAGUAACGCGUAGGUAACCUGCCUUGUAGCGGGGGAUAACUAUUGGAAACGAUAGCUAAUACCGCAUAACAAUGGAUGACACAUGUCAUUUAUUUGAAAGGGGCAAUUGCUCCACUACAAGAUGGACCUGCGUUGUAUUAGCUAGUAGGUGAGGUAACGGCUCACCUAGGCGACGAUACAUAGCCGACCUGAGAGGGUGAUCGGCCACACUGGGACUGAGACACGGCCCAGACUCCUACGGGAGGCAGCAGUAGGGAAUCUUCGGCAAUGGGGGCAACCCUGACCGAGCAACGCCGCGUGAGUGAAGAAGGUUUUCGGAUCGUAAAGCUCUGUUGUAAGUCAAGAACGAGUGUGAGAGUGGAAAGUUCACACUGUGACGGUAGCUUACCAGAAAGGGACGGCUAACUACGUGCCAGCAGCCGCGGUAAUACGUAGGUCCCGAGCGUUGUCCGGAUUUAUUGGGCGUAAAGCGAGCGCAGGCGGUUUGAUAAGUCUGAAGUUAAAGGCUGUGGCUCAACCAUAGUUCGCUUUGGAAACUGUCAAACUUGAGUGCAGAAGGGGAGAGUGGAAUUCCAUGUGUAGCGGUGAAAUGCGUAGAUAUAUGGGGGAACACCGGUGGCGAAAGCGGCUCUCUGGUCUGUAACUGACGCUGAGGCUCGAAAGCGUGGGGAGCGAACAGGAUUAGAUACCCUGGUAGUCCACGCCGUAAACGAUGAGUGCUAGGUGUUGGAUCCUUUCCGGGAUUCAGUGCCGCAGCUAACGCAUUAAGCACUCCGCCUGGGGAGUACGACCGCAAGGUUGAAACUCAAAGGAAUUGACGGGGGCCCGCACAAGCGGUGGAGCAUGUGGUUUAAUUCGAAGCAACGCGAAGAACCUUACCAGGUCUUGACAUCCCGAUGCUAUUUCUAGAGAUAGAAAGUUACUUCGGUACAUCGGUGACAGGUGGUGCAUGGUUGUCGUCAGCUCGUGUCGUGAGAUGUUGGGUUAAGUCCCGCAACGAGCGCAACCCCUAUUGUUAGUUGCCAUCAUUCAGUUGGGCACUCUAGCGAGACUGCCGGUAAUAAACCGGAGGAAGGUGGGGAUGACGUCAAAUCAUCAUGCCCCUUAUGACCUGGGCUACACACGUGCUACAAUGGUUGGUACAACGAGUUGCGAGUCGGUGACGGCAAGCUAAUCUCUUAAAGCCAAUCUCAGUUCGGAUUGUAGGCUGCAACUCGCCUACAUGAAGUCGGAAUCGCUAGUAAUCGCGGAUCAGCACGCCGCGGUGAAUACGUUCCCGGGCCUUGUACACACCGCCCGUCACACCACGAGAGUUUGUAACACCCGAAGUCGGUGAGGUAACCUUUUGGAGCCAGCCGCCUAAGGUGGGAUAGAUGAUUGGGGUG
rnacentral:rRNA from 1 species